CGUGUAGGCGGUGCGGUAAGUUGGGCGUGAAAUCCCCGAGCUUAACUCGGGUGGGCCGUUCAAGACUGCCGUGCUAGGGUGCGGGAGAGGGCAGUGGAAUUUCCGGUGUAGCGGUGAAAUGCGUAGAUAUCGGGAGGAACACCUGCGGCGAAGGCGGCUGCCUGGACCGUAACCGACGCUGAGGCGCGAAAGCUAGGGGAGCAAACAGGAUUAGAUACCCUGGUAGUCCUAGCCUUAAACGAUGAGCACUGGGUGUGGCCCCUCACGGGGCCGUGCCGAAGCUAACGCAUUAAGUGCUCCGCCUGGGGAGUACGGUCGCAAGGCUGAA
rnacentral:rRNA from 1 species